CGACAAUUAGUUUACAAAUGCAGAGUUUAUUCGAAUGGAACAGGAUAAGAAACUUAGGGAGAAAAUAUAAUAUCAAUGUAGGGGUAAUGGAUUAUAUUUGGUGCGUCCGAGUGGACUCGAACCACCGACCCCCACCA
rfam:Xenorhabdus vietnamensis strain DSM 22392 Xvie_12, whole genome shotgun sequence.